GCCGAAUAAACCUCGGGAGACAACGCAGGAAGAAUAUCUUUCUACUUUUUAGUGCAAGCGUGGGGCUGUUCCAUCCGCUUAUCCUGCGCUCCUUUUCCCCAAGUGACAGUAACUCAUCUUCCAAGGCAAAGCGAGUUCCUCCGCACACCAAGCGGCGCCCAGAAAUGCUCUUUAAGGGAUUAGGCUGAUCCAUGAAACCUUGAAGAUCUUCAGUCUCUUUCACUAAGGAUUCCCAGAAUGUAUCCCAGGUGCUUUGAGCUGAAGAUUGGGAUAAAGAGCAGCAUCUUGUAUGUUGGAUGUUGUCCUCAGCUCUGAACUGACAUCCAGCUGAUGGGAAGGUGGAAACCUGCUUCUCUCACCCUGCUCCUUGAGUCCCUGCCAUAAGGAGGUGGAGAGGAAACUUGCAUUUCACUUGCCAUUCACAACACGGAAACCAGAUGAAGAGAGUACUUGCAAUGAAUUUGGAGCCAAACAAGAGCUGAAGAAAGAA